rnacentral:rRNA from 1 species
GACGAACGCUGGCGGCGUGCUUAACACAUGCAAGUCGAACGAUGAAGCACCAGCUUGCUGGUGUGGAUUAGUGGCGAACGGGUGAGUAACACGUGAGUAACCUGCCCCUCACUCUGGGAUAAGCCUGGGAAACUGGGUCUAAUACUGGAUACGACCGAUCUCCGCAUGGAGUGUUGGUGGAAAGUUUUUGUGGUGGGGGAUGGACUCGCGGCCUAUCAGCUUGUUGGUGGGGUAAUGGCCUACCAAGGCGACGACGGGUAGCCGGCCUGAUAGGGCGACCGGCCACACUGGGACUGAGGCACGGCCCAGACUCCUACGGGAGGCAGCAGUCGGAAAUAUUGCACAAUGGGCGAAAGCCUGAUGCAGCGACGCCGCGUGAGGGAUGACGGCCUUCGGGUUGUAAACCUCUUUCACCAGGGACGAAGCUAACGUGACGGUACCUGGAGAAGAAGCACCGGCUAACUACGUG